CCCUUAGAUGUUCUGGGCAGCACGCGCGCUACAAUGGUCUUCGCAAACGGAUGCAUUCUCGAAGGAGAAUGCCAAUCUUGGAAUCUAUGCCUUGGUCGGGACAGUUGCUUGCAAUUUUUCGACUCGAACCAGGAAUUCCUUGUAAUCGUGAUUCAUCACAUCACGAUGAAUACGUCCCUGCCCUUUGUACACACCGCCCGUCGCUCCUACCGAUCGAAGAGUUAGGUGAAUUGUUUUGAUCGAUAAGAUUUGACUAUGGUCAACUCUCGUUGUGAAAUUCUGUGAAUCUGACUGUUUAGAGGAAGGAAAAGUCGUAAAA
rnacentral:rRNA from 1 species